UGAGCUCAUCGAAAUCUGACAUCUCUGACAAGAGGAUCUCCUGAACAGUAGUGACAAUUCGCUGACGUACGUGUUCGUCUCUUCGUUCUGAUAUUCUUGAUACAAAGAUAUGUACAUCUUUAUGCCCCGUCAAGAAUAAAACAAUAAAUAAAUGAACGAGACACCUCGUUGGAUAAAAAGGAAUCGAAAAACAGCCGAAAAUUGUACAAUCACUUUCACUAUAUUCUUGUCAAUCUAGAGAGCACUUCUGUUUGUUUGGACCGAUUGCAGAACAGUAAACGAUGUGCUACGUGCAUUUCUUGCGGUGUGUCAGUGUCAUUAGUAUUGGCAGAAAAAAGGAGGGGGAAAGGAGUCCAUAGGUUUAUGUCAGGCAUAAUAAUGCAGGAUGAGAUCACCGACUACGUUGCUCUUCAGAUUCCACGCUUCUUAGUCAAACGUUCUUGUCUGAUUAAUUGGCCUUGCCAUGGAAACAGCGGCUUAUGCUAAUUUCAAGAUGAGACGAAGAUUAUGCGUCGCGCGCGAAACAAAUAAAAGUCAUUGAUAAAUUGACUCGUAAAAAUGGAGAACGAGGGAACAACAAAAUACAAUAUUGAUAAUGUAAUCAGAGAUCUAUAUAUAGCUACGACAAUGGAAGAGAAACGAGUUAAGCUGCAAAUUACUGUAAUUGGAAGAAUUCGCUCGUAUCUCGAAAAUGUAUCUUUGAAGAUAGAUAAGGAUGAUAAUAGUUGUUCUACUAUCCGAUGGUCAAUCUUAGAUCUGACGCAUUCAAGGCAUGGGAACUAAUUUCUUAGUUACAAUUACGUUCAUUUUUCAACCUACAUUUACUAAUAAUAUUUUUCUUCGUUUAGUGUAUUAAUCACGUUGAGUUUAUCAUGCGGAUGUAUAAUAAUUGUUUGAAGGAUAAAAGAAUUUUUGAAAUAUUUCAAGUGGAAGAAUUUAGUUGCUUCGAUGCAAUAACAAUUAAUGUAUUGCUAUCGUGUAAAUAACGUGACUGAUGAUUCCAUUUCUUGACUUGCGUCAUAGAAGAUAUCUGAAAUGUUAACUCACGGGAAUUGGCAUUUCGUUGCUAAAAUUGGCUAUCAAACUUUGAUUGCUUAUUGGGGAGAUUUCGUAAUUAUCCAAAAAUGUGGAUAAAAGAUAAGCAAACUGUGAAUAAUACAAACACUAUUUCUAAGGUGUCAAGAAUGUAACAUAAAUCAGUCCAGAAUCUAACUUAACUUUGGACUAAAAUAAUUUGGGUAAUCCGAAAUCUAAUUCUGAGCGGUCUAUCGGCUAAUUCUGAGUAGUAUAAAGUCUAACUCUGAGUAGUCCAAGACCUAAUUCUGUGGAGUUCAAAAUUUAACUCUGAGCUAAUGCAAAAUCUAACUCUGAAUAUUGCAAAAUUUAAUUCUAAAUCAGUGCAAAACCUAAUUCUGAGGAGUUCCAAAUUUAACUCCAAACCAAUGCAAAACGUAAUUUUGGAUAUUGCAAAAUUUAAUUCUGAAUUAGUGCAAAAGCUAAUUCUGAGAAGUUCAAAACCCAAUUCUAAACAACCCAGCACCCAAUAUAAUAUAUCUGCAUCUAACACCUACCUGUAGCUUUGUUUCCAUUGCUCUGCCAUAUCUUAAGCAUGGCUGCAGCUUGCUGAGCUGGUUUAUUAGAAUAUUCUUGUUUAAUCGUGGAUACUUCGUUCGGUGGGAUAUUUAAUUCUUCCGCGAGUUUCUCCCAGUCUUUGUCCAACAAAUUCGCGAUAUCAGUCAACCGUAUAGUCGCUCUAUGAAUUGCAUCCGGACGACCUGAAGUAAUAAUUCAAAAUUUACAUAAUUCCUCUACGUUGUUUCAUAAUUCGUUCUUCGAUUCACGUACUUAUGCCACCGUCACGUAAGAAGCUGUAAUUCUUUGAAAGUUCGAGCAAAUCCACCUCAGAAGCCGCAGCUUCCGGAGAUAUCUUUUCUGGCAACAAAAUAUGCAACGUGCAUAUAGGUGUCUGCGGUAGUUCGCCUUUGGGAACCUUCGGCUCGCUCAUGAACAUAAUGCGACCCAUAGUGUCGGCCGCAUCGGGAUCCUUUAUCCUCGCCGUGAAUGGAACUCUAUUCUCUUUGAAAGCUCUGAACGGUAAUUGUAAUUGUUCGCCGCUCUUCAAUACUGGCACUAGGUUACCCGAAAAUUCCAUGUACUGUGUCUUGCCUUCCAGGACCUUAAAUAAUUCCAAACGCAACACAGACAUUAAUAAAAAAAUAAUUAUCUCUUCAGCAAAACAUGACAAAUCUGGCAUAUCCUUGGUCUCUCAUCUGAUAACUCUGUUAGGUGUCUUACCUCGACAUCUCGACUUUUCGCAACUUCCGUGAAGUGUUCCUGGUUUUCUAAAGUCUUAUCCUCCUUGUCGUCGGUCAUACAGAAGACGCGUAGCCUUGCUUCCAGAGGAUCUAUUCGUUUUGCAAAUACUACGAACCUGCCAGGAAAAUUAAUCAGGCGAUUUAGAACUCGGUGCAAGAAGUGAUUCUCCCGGUACGUAAACCAAAAGAGAUACCGACCACCACUUGAGAGUCGUUUUCUUUUCACAAAUGAACGCUAUUGUAACUAGAACAUAUAUCCUAGUUUGGGUGCGUUUAUGUGAAAAGAAAACGAUAGUCAAGUAGCAGCUGACAUCUCCUUUGGUUAGGAUACUAGGAAACGUACUUAGCCAUGAAGGGUACAUGUGUCGCGUGUGUGUACAAUUCUGUUGCCAUUUUCGUGGCCUCGGAGAUAUUCCGGCAAUCCAUCAACCAAAAGCGAGCCGACACAGUGGUGGUGAAGGAGACGCAAUCCUUAACGAACGUCAGCGGCGUUGAACCUGUGACAUCCUCCCAGACUGCCCGAGACUGACCCCCUGAACGACAUACAUACCAAGUCCAAUAACAUUAUUAAAAUAUGUCCGUGCUGCGUAUGGAGAAUCGGCAGAAGUGAACUGUGUGGGAUAUUAUUCCAAUGCGACCGAGAUUAAUUACAAUUCGACACUUUAAGCCCACCAUUCUUAAAUACCCCUUGAUUAUGAAGAAAUAACAAAAUUUAUAAUAUAACACAAAGAAUAAUUAAAAAAGAAUACAAGCUUAUAAAAAGCUUUAAAUACAAUCAAAGGGUUCAGAAAUAUGUUACAAUUGUAUUACACUGGUAAAAAUUAUCCUUGACUCACUUCUUCUAUCUUAUCAUUGACCUUGUUUAAAUUUUCAUUUUUAUUAUAGUUGAUAAUGUUGAAUUGUUCCAUUUAUGUCAGGCUCAAAGUAUCAAUUAGAUUGAUGGACACAAUGAGAUUUAUUGUUUCAAGCGAACUGACCAAAAAGAAUAGAAAAAUAAAAUUGAACUAUUGCUUUGAUUUCUUCUUCGUUAUGAUAAAUUGAUUAUUAUAUUUGUACUUAAUAUCGGUCACCACAGGUGCGUAGAUGUCAAGUGCUGUAUCGUGUGUGUGAGUAAUGUAAAAGAAAAUAAACGCUGAUCGAAUGAUAAUGCUUGCCAAAAGGAAAUGAAAAGCGUCAUUCAUCAAAAAAUUCGCGCAGAAAGCGGACGCGCUCGUGAUUAUGCGUAGAAUGAUAAGUAAGCGUUAAAGAAACAGAAUAGGUGUGAAAUAAAUGUAAUUAAAACGCGGCGCAAUGCAUGUCGAAAACAUAUCUUCCUGUUUUUGGUCGUAUCGAAUAUUUUAAAUUUCAAUAACAUAUUCCACACUUCGGUAUCAAUAACAAGAUCUUCCUCGGAAAAAAGAAAAAUCGAUAUUUUACGCUGAAAAUAUUUUUGUUGAAAAAAGAAAGAAGAAUAGUAGAAAAGGAAACAGCGUGGCUGUAACAAACAAUACCAUUGAAAAAUAUAACAAUGUCAGUCUUUGUAUCGGUAACGUGUCGUAUGAUAUACAUCAUGUAACAAUCUAAAAAUACAUAUAUUUCGGGAACACAAUUUGAUAGAAAUUUGUAAAAUUACAAGCCUAAUUUAUCGAAGCGGUUACCAGUCAAACGAAUGUGCUGAAACAAAAACUUUGAAGUUAACGCUUACAAUGAGCUAGGUAGUAAAAUUUUAUCUACGUUAAUUAAUAAUCCAUACCUAAAUGACUCAAUCCUAACAAUAUGCAAGCAUUAACAAUGAAUCACAACAAGAUAUGUAUACAACAAUAGUACUCAACGAAAUGUUUCUAUGAAACAUGCAGCUACCAUCUCCCUUUUAAAUCUCUAUCCGAAGGUCUCCGGGACGUUCACCAAGGUAUCACCUUCUUAUGCCUCGGAAUAUCUUUGGAAACAUCAAUAAUACUAAACUUACAAAACAAAUGCUAUUCGUCUCCUCUAACCAGCGCUGGGUAUAACAUAAUAGUAUUUCAAACAAAAACUUUUCAAUGAAAGUGAAAUAAAACAAAUCUUCAAAUACUACUUGAAAUCUACCCAGCUCUGCUUCUAACAUUGAAACAUUACUUCUGGCAGUGCGUACAAAUUAUAAUUGUAUGUGAACUAUAAUAAUGCAAGUGGGUUCUGACGCGACACAAACUCGUAUACAGGGUAUCUAAACAGAAAUAUAUGUAUAUCAUGAAAAUUGUCAACUUGAAAGUUUUCUACUAUUUUGUAAUCUGGAGCUUGCCAUGUGUGUCUGAUGAAUUGUCACAGAUUGCAAAAUCGUACUAGACCUUUGAUUUCCUUUAGCAUAUAAAAGUUCCUAUUUUCAUGAUAUGCAUUUCUUUUAGACGCAUCGUACACUCAACGUAGUCCCGACGACCUGAGAACAGACGAAGAUGCCUACCGCCCCGCGCCAUGCCUACUAAACUACAAAUUGAUUUUCGAAUGCGUAAGAAGUCUGAUAAGAGCGUAUGUAUAUAAAUACACCAAAGGUGUGUUUGCGGCGUAACAAUUUCAGCGCUUAUCGGUAAGAGAUUCUCCAGUAAGACGGUACGCUGCUCUACAAUAUUACGUGCAAGCAUAUAUUACCAGUUAUGCUGCACAGGAGUCUCAACGUUGGUGCAUCUCCUGAAUAUUGAUUGAUCAUUCCUUUGUUGGCUGCUUGCGGCACAGGUAUGGUUAAAGUUAUUGGCUUAUGGAACUUUCUUCGCCUUGGUUCAACUGUUACAAUUGGUGACACUGCAACUCGGUUACCAAGCAGUUUGGCUACGAGAUCCGCCGGUAUUGGAUGUGCCUAAACAUACAAAUGAUUUUCUUCUGAAUUAAACAAGGUGUUAAAGAAGAAAGAAUUAAUCCCUGGGGUGUAUCUCAAGAAAAACAUUAGUCGAUCAAGAAAUGAAUCGCCUAUUCGACAAAUUGAUUAACUCCAAAAAAGAGAUUCAAAAAGUGGAAUUGAUUACUUUGGCCUGGGAAUUGCUCAGAUAUGAAAGGAUGAGGUGUAUGUACCUGCAGACCAACUCUGAUCUUUUUAGUAAGAGCUGCUGGUGGAAAGACAGCCUGGACUUGUGGAACAGCAGAUGAAGAGACUGUGCCACCCUCUGGACCAACUGCAUGGACCUCUUGUCUAAUACGAGACACUACCGCGAAAUAAUGUGGGAAGUCUGCACACCCACAGGUCCAAGUUCGAGAAUACGGCUGGCCAGAGCUUCGCCUUCCAUCAAAGGGGGUGGAUUUGUCAAUUUAUCCCUCCUUAAAUAUCUGCACGUAACACGCAUCGGCAUCGCGGCUUUCCUAGGAGGAACG